rnacentral:tRNA from 1 species
GCGCCUGUAGCUCAGUUGGAUAGAGCAUCCGCCUUCUAAGCGUAUGGUCACAGGUUCGAAUCCUGUCAGGCGCGCCA